UUAAGCAUAUCAAUAAGCGGAGGAAAAGAAACCAACAGGGAUUGCCCUAGUAACGGCGAGUGAAGCGGCAACAGCUCAAAUUUGAAAUCUGGCCCUUGUGGUCCGAGUUGUAAUUUGUAGAGGAUGCUUUUGGUUAGGUGCCUUCCGAGUUCCCUGGAACGGGACGCCAUAGAGGGUGAGAGCCCCGUCUGGUUGGAUACCGAGCCUCUGUAAAGCUCCUUCGACGAGUCGAGUAGUUUGGGAAUGCUGCUCUAAAUGGGAGGUAUAUGUCUUCUAAAGCUAAAUACCGGCCAGAGACCGAUAGCGCACAAGUAGAGUGAUCGAAAGAUGAAAAGCACUUUGAAAAGAGGGUUAAAAAGUACGUGAAAUUGUUGAAAGGGAAGCGCUUGUGACCAGACUUGGGCCCGGUCAAUCAUCCAGGGUUCUCCCUGGUGCACUUGGCCGGCCCAGGCCAGCAUCAGUUUGUCGCGGGGGAUAAAGGCGUCGGGAAUGUGGCUCCCCCGGGAGUGUUAUAGCCCUUCGUGUAAUACCCUGCUUCGGACUGAGGUUCGCGCAUCUGCAAGGAUGCUGGCGUAAUGGUCAUCAGCGACCCGUCUUGAAACACGGACCAAGGAGUCGUCUUCGUAUGCGAGUGUUCGGGUGUCAAACCCCUACGCGUAAUGAAAGUGAACGCAGGUGAGAGCUUCGGCGCAUCAUCGACCGAUCCUGAUGUUCUCGGAUGGAUUUGAGUAAGAGCAUACGGGGCCGGACCCGAAAGAAGGUGAACUAUGCCUGUAUAGGGUGAAGCCAGAGGAAACUCUGGUGGAGGCUCGCAGCGGUUCUGACGUGCAAAUCGAUCGUCAAAUAUGGCA
rnacentral:rRNA from 1 species